AGUUUGAUCCUGGCUCAGAGCGAACGCUGGCGGCAUGCUUAACACAUGCAAGUCUGACGGGUGGCUUCGGCCAUCAGUGGCGGACGGGUGAGUAACGCGUAGGAACGUGUCCUGAGGUGGGGGAUAACCCUGGGAAACUGGGGCUAAUACCGCAUGGGCCCUGAGGGGCAAAGCCGAGAGGCGCCUUGGGAGUGGCCUGCGUCCGAUUAGGUAGUUGGUGGGGUAAUGGCCUACCAAGCCUGCGAUCGGUAGCUGGUCUGAGAGGACGACCAGCCACACUGGGACUGAGACACGGCCCAGACUCCUACGGGAGGCAGCAGUGGGGAAUAUUGGACAAUGGGCGCAAGCCUGAUCCAGCAAUGCCGCGUGGAUGAAGAAGGUCUUCGGAUUGUAAACCUCUUUUCUCAAGGAAGAAGUUCUGACGGUACUUGAGGAAUCAGCAUCGGCUAACUCCGUGCCAGCAGCCGCGGUAAUACGGAGGAUGCAAGCGUUAUCCGGAAUGAUUGGGCGUAAUGCGUCCGUAGGUGGUUGUUCAAGUCUGCUGUUAAAGCGUGCGGCUUAACCGCAUACCAGCAGUGGAAACUGGGCGACUAGAGUGCGGUAGGGGUCAGGGGAAUUCCCAGUGUAGCGGUGAAAUGCGUAGAUAUUGGGAAGAGCACCGGUGGCGAAAGCGCCUGACUGGACCUGCACUGACACUGAGGGACGAAAGCUAGGGGAGCGAAAGGGAUUAGAUACCCCUGUAGUCCUAGCCGUAAACGAUGGACACUAGGUGUUGCCCGUAUCGACCCGGGCAGUGCCGUAGCCAACGCGUUAAGUGUCCCGCCUGGGGAGUACGCUCGCAAGAGUGAAACUCAAAGGAAUUGANGGGGGCCCGCACAAGCGGUGGAGUAUGUGGUUUAAUUCGAUGCAACGCGAGAACCUUACCAGGGCUUGACAUGUCCAGAACCCUCUUGAA
rnacentral:rRNA from 1 species